GACAGAGGGUGCAAACGUUGUCCGGAAUCAUUGGGCGUAAAGAGCGUGUAGGCGGCCAACUAAGUCCUGCGUGAAAUCUCGGGGCUCAACCCCGAGCGGUCGUGGGAAACUGGUUGGCUAGAGUGCGGGAGAGGAGAGUGGAAUUCCGAGUGUAGAGGUGAAAUUCGUAGAUAUUCGGAAGAACACCAGUGGCGAAGGCGACUUACUGGACACAUAUUGACGCUGAGGUGCGAAAGCGUGGGGAGCAAACAGG
rnacentral:rRNA from 1 species